rnacentral:lncRNA from 1 species
AGGCAACCAAGUGACGUCAAAAACGUCGAGGAAACGUCAGUAUUUGGUGGAAUAUAUACACGUAGUUGAACAUUACGUCAUAUCGACGUCUUUUGUAGGUGAUUUUAAAUACGUAAGAUUAAUGACGUUAAAAUACGUUUAAAAGACGUUUUCAUUUCAGCCAGCCCAAGUCUGACGUCACGAAAUUGGGAGGAGCUUGGAGCUUAAAAGUUACAAAACUAGGGUUAUGUUUGUAUCAUCGUUGUCGUUUCAUUUCAUUGUUUGUUUGUCCUAGUAUUUUGCCUUUUUUGGAUUCAUUUGGAUUUUGUUGGCUGUUUUGUGUGUAUUUUUUAAAACUUCUGUUUGUCAUUUGUAAAUUUUAUAAAUUUACCACAAUGCAAAGAGAUUAUUAAAGGAAAUUAUUAAUGGAAACUCCGCAGAUGUUUUAGAAAGAUAUUCAUUGAAGCUGAAAAUAAUUGGAGAUUUAGAUCCAUAUACAAUUCAGUCAUCAGAAUUGGAUUUUACAGUGCAUUCCAUAAAUUACUGUUAUAAUGCUAUUAUAGAUAGACUGGUAGAGUCUCACAGUUACUGCUUUAAGCAGCAGAUGAAAGCAUACAAAAGCCUUCAGGCACAUAAAAGCCUUCACAACUGGAUUUGUUUUGAAACAUUGAUGUUUUGAUGAUUUCUAUAUUAUUGUUGGAAAGGUGAAAAAUUCCCAAAAAGCUAAUGCUAAACCGCUAGAUGCUUCGGUGAAUAGCCAGUUCCAAUGGCAUAGCAAAUGCACAUUGUAUGUGUAUGGCCAGUAAUAUUGAAAUUUGCAGCCAUAUUGCAGCAAUCUUAUUUGCAGCUGAGUAUGCCCACAGCAAGACAGAAGAAGAAGAACCCAAUGCAUGUACAGAUGUUACAGCUAUGUACAUUCUCUGGUGAAAAACUAAUGAGUUUUCAAGCUGUUCGGUCAGAGUGCUUGUUGCGCUCUCUAAACGAACUGAAAUAUAAGACGGCUUUGGCUUCAUGUUGCAGUGAUAUGAAAAUGGUUAGUCAUUUUUAAUUAUAAUGUACUUCUUCAUCAUGAGUAUUUAUGUAUAGGGCUUUUCAUUCACAGUCAUUUGUUUCGAGCUUCUGUCAUGUGUCACAUAAUAUUAAUAUUAUAUCUACGUCAUACGUUAUUGGUAUAUAUCAAUGAUACACACCAAAGACAUAUGGCAUAGAUAUAUUAAUAUUAUGUGACACAUGACACAUGCUCGAAACAAAUGACAGUCGAUAAAAAGCCCUAUUAGUCUUUUAAGUGUGUAUUAUCAGAUAUCACAUGUAAAUUGUUUUUAUCAUGUUAAUUUGGUCAUUACAGUCCCUUAAUCAAAAAAUAUAUUUUUCAGGUGUCUGUGGAUCUUUUUGUAUGCAAAAAUUUGUAAUAAUUAUUUGAAAUCAUUUUGAGGAUUAUUAGAGUAUGGAAAUAUAUGUGAGAACACAUACUAUUAUAGUUUUGUCCUAUUUUUUAUCAUUCAAUAGUCUUCUUAAAAUUUAUAAAUAUAAAGCAGAUAGUUUUCAUUGAAAUUCAAUAUAUUGGGUCUUAUUUGUAUGUAUUCAUUUUUGACUAAAGGUACGAUUCCGAUAACGACUGCAGACAGCAACUGCAAACAUCAGUUGCAGUUCUCGGCGUUAUGGACGUUACUACUAUGCACUAUUUAUCUGUAUGAGACUUAUUCCGACAUCUGACUGCAACUGCUGUCUGGCAGAACGUCAGUUGCUAAUAAUUAUGCAAAUUAUUAGUGCAAAAUAAUGACGUCUGUCAUGGUGACAACUGUAACUGCCAUCUGCAGUCGUUGUCGGAAUCGUACCUUUAAAGUGUGUGGUAUAAUUAUAAUAAUUAUAUAUAUUAUAUAACUUAAAUGGUUUAAACUUAAGUUUGUUAUUACAUUGUGACUUAAAUGUUUAAUUUGUUAAUAAAUGAUUUAUUAGUUUA